CGGUGUCCGUGGUGAAAACCAGAUCCAAAUAUUUAUUGUUUUGAUUCGGUGUAUCACACACUUGCAUCAAUCCAGACGACGAAAAACCAUCAACAAUGACUACUUCACUCUGCGAAACGAUUCGCUCAGGUUGAAAUCACCUGACACGAGCACCAUGUCACCCGGCUGAACUAUGUCGAUGACGGAGUCAACAAACGCGACGAACGAGUGGUAGCGAGCUAAAUUCGAGAUAGGUGGAAUAUAUCCACAGCACAAAAAUAAGUGUCCAUUCAUUGUUUUCAUCUUAACACAGAUCGCUUCAUUGUUUUCAGCUCGAGCAAACUCUGUGCUGACGAUACGACGAUGAACCGCAAUAAGCGCCCCGCCGCCGGACAGUUUAUCGCUGUUAAGUGUGUCUCUGUCGCAGCGGUAGACCGAAAAACACGAAGGGAACAGUACACUAUUUUGUAUAGAGGAUUCCAAGGUUUCCCACGUUUAACGGAUUAACAGAAUGAGACUCGAUUCCAUCGCUAAUAGCGGAUAGGAUUCUUCACACAAAAUGUCACUGCUGCAUCGCAACCGUUGGCUGGAAGGGAGCAGCGAGCGGAGUGGAGAAACAGUCCCGCUGCUGAGAGGGACUAUCACGCUGUCGCUCGUCACGAAAAAUUGUAUUGCCCCGUUCGACACCCACAAACUCACGGAAAUAAAUUCCCUUU